GGCUAAGCACUGCACUUAUGAGCAGAUUUCUCCACCAGGGCCUGCUUGCUCUUGCACAGAGCAGGCUCCAGCCUCCCAUUGUGACCUGGCACCUCUUAACCUUUUCUGAGCCUACUGCCUAGGUUAGUUCCUGAGAUAAGAAAAUGUGUCUUCAUGGGGCUUGUUUCCCUCUCCCAUAAAAUGCAGGAGCGGGGGAUCUUAUUUCUCCAACCACCCUGUAGACUUCCAGAGCAAGAGGCGAACUAUGCACACCAGUAUUGAAAACAGCACUGUCAAGUAUGGAGACAGGGCGGGCCUCGCCCAGGCUUUUCUCAGCUGCCUCAGAAAACUGUCCCAGCAGCACCACUUCGGCACAGGAGGAUCAUAGGUCUCCUUUCUGAGGAAUAAGGGAGAAGACAGACAAGAAAACAUCCUGCACACAGCUGCAGGUCAUGAGCCAUAUUGCUCCCCACUUGCUGCUCAGAAGGGUAUCCAUCUGCAUUGGUAUCCAUGAGCUUGGGUUAAGAACACCUCCUUGAAGGGUCACCGUGAGGAUUCAAGUAAGAACCAUAUGCAACACAACUCUCAUGUGCCCCAUGUGUCAUAAGUAUUUUAUAAAUAUUUGUUCCUACUCAGAAUGCCCCUCAACUUGAGUCAGAAACAGUGAUGUUAAUGUCUACAAAAGGGUCUAUAGUGGAAUAAAAUAAACAUGUAGUUCUAGACGGUUGUCUCAGUUACUGAGCUAUUGAAACCCCCACAUUACUGACUACCUAGCAAGUUGGGCAAUGCUUACCACCAAGAGAUGUGUCCCCAUGGCCUCAC
rnacentral:lncRNA from 1 species